GGGGGCGUGGCGGAAUGGCAGACGCUACGGACUUAAAAUCCGUUGACCUUAAACGGUCGUGAGGGUUCAAGUCCCUCCGCCCCCA
rnacentral:tRNA from 10 species